GCUGGGCUGCCCCUCUGCCAUGCUGAGCAGCACAGAAUGGCCAGCCCGGCUGCAGUGAGUGUGCUCUCUGGCUAAUGGUUCUUAUCCAGGAGAAGAGGGAGCCCAGGCCAGAGGAGCAUGCACGGUGAUCUCUGACCUGGACCUCUAGCCAGCCCCCAACAAAUGCGUCCACUGGGGUGCGAAGAACCGAGGAGGCCACGCAGCAGGCAGCCCAGAAGCGCUAAGGAGGAGCGAGAAUACCCAGCAGCUCCUCAGCAAAGUCGCAGGCCAGCAGUGAUCUGGUCCUCUCUUGGGAUUGGAAUCCGCAUUCAGCAGGCAGCUUGAACGCUUGGUCAUAGCAAACUUAUCAUAUUUUAUUAGCUGCUGAAUAUAUCGAGUUCCAGAGACCUAAUUCCGGUAGCCAGAAGGCUCUAGGGCUGCGGCGUGGGGGAGAGCCGCACACAAAACGCAAGAAAGAUCUGGGAAAACCAUGUCUAGAAAACUCUGAAAACCUGGCCAAGAGCCGCCAAGGAAAGGAAAGUAAGGCGAUCCCUGGGAUGCAUAAAGGUACUGGAUAUACAGGGCCCUGGGUUUAGGGAAUGAUGGAAAAGACCAAUUCAAGGAGCCAGUCCCUAGCCGGGCAAACACCGGGGCUAGUUAAGAGG